rnacentral:rRNA from 1 species
AUUGAACGCUGGCGGCAUGCCUUACACAUGCAAGUCGAACGGUAACAGGUCUUCGGAUGCUGACGAGUGGCGAACGGGUGAGUAAUACAUCGGAACGUGCCCGAUCGUGGGGGAUAACGAGGCGAAAGCUUUGCUAAUACCGCAUACGAUCUACAGAUGAAAGCGGGGGAUCUUCGGACCUCGCGCGGACGGAGCGGCCGAUGGCAGAUUAGGUAGUUGGUGGGAUAAAAGCUUACCAAGCCGACGAUCUGUAGCUGGUCUGAGAGGAUGAUCAGCCACACUGGGACUGAGACACGGCCCAGACUCCUACGGGAGGCAGCAGUGGGGAAUUUUGGACAAUGGGCGAAAGCCUGAUCCAGCCAUGCCGCGUGCAGGAUGAAGGCCUUCGGGUUGUAAACUGCUUUUGUACGGAACGAAAAGCCUCUUUCUAAUAAAGAGGGGUCAUGACGGUACCGUAAGAAUAAGCACCGGCUAACUACGUG